GAUGAACGCUGGCGGCGUGCCUAAUACAUGCAAGUCGAACGAACAGACGAGGAGCUUGCUUCCUUGCCGUUAGCGGCGGACAGGUGAGUAGCACGUGGAUAACCUACCUAUAAGACUGGGAUACCUUCGGGAGACCGGACCUAUUACCACAGAAUCUAUUGAACCACAUGGUUCAAUACUGAAAGACGGUUUUGCUGACACUUAUAAUUGGACCCGCGACGCAUUAGCUAGUUGGUAAGGUAAUGGCUUACCAAGGCAACGAUGCGUAGCCGACCUGAGAGGGUGAUCGGCCACACUGGAACUGAGACACGGUCCAGACUCCUACGGGAGGCAGCAGUAGGGAAUCUUCCGCAAUGGGCGAAAGCUUGACGGAGCAACGCCGCGUGAGUGAUGAAGGUCUUCGGAUCGUAAAACCCUGUUAUUAGGGAAGAACAAAUGUGUGAGUAACUAUGCACGUUUUGACGGUACCUAAUCAGAAAGCCACGGCUAACUACGUG
rnacentral:rRNA from 1 species